GUCGACGGUGAAGAGGAGCUUGCUCCUUGGAUCAGUGGCGAACGGGUGAGUAACACGUGAGCAAUCUGCCCUUGACUCUGGGAUAACUGCGGGAAACUGUAGCUAAUACCGGAUACGACCUUGGAAGGCACCUUCUGGGGUGGAAAGAAUUUUGGUCAAGGAUGAGCUCGCGGCCUAUCAGCUAGUUGGUGAGGUAAUGGCUCACCAAGGCGACGACGGGUAGCCGGCCUGAGAGGGUGACCGGCCACACUGGGACUGAGACACGGCCCAGACUCCUACGGGAGGCAGCAGUGGGGAAUAUUGCACAAUGGGCGAAAGCCUGAUGCAGCAACGCCGCGUGAGGGACGAAGGCCUUCGGGUUGUAAACCUCUUUUAGUAGGGAAGAAGCGACUGGGUUUUCCUGGAAGUGACGGUACCUGCAGAAAAAGCACCGGCUAACUACGUGCCAGCAGCCGCGGUAAUACGUAGGGUGCAAGCGUUGUCCGGAAUUAUUGGGCGUAAAGAGCUCGUAGGCGGUUUGUCGCGUCUGCUGUGAAAACCCGAGGCUCAACCUCGGGCCUGCAGUGGGUACGGGCAGACUAGAGUGCGGUAGGGGAGAUUGGAAUUCCUGGUGUAGCGGUGGAAUGCGCAGAUAUCAGGAGGAACACCAAUGGCGAAGGCAGAUCUCUGGGCCGUAACUGACGCUGAGGAGCGAAAGCAUGGGGAGCGA
rnacentral:rRNA from 1 species